CCUACGGGGGGCUGCAGUGGGGAAUAUUGGACAAUGGGCGAAAGCCUGAUCCAGCCAUGCCGCGUGUGUGAAGAAGGCCUUCGGGUUGUAAAGCACUUUCAGUGGGGAAGAAAGCCUUGGGGCUAAUACCCUCGAGGAAGGACAUCACCCACAGAAGAAGCACCGGCUAACUCCGUGCCAGCAGCCGCGGUAAUACGGAGGGUGCGAGCGUUAAUCGGAAUUACUGGGCGUAAAGCGCGAGUAGGCGGUCUGAUAAGCCGGUUGUGAAAGCCCCGGGCUCAACCUGGGAACGGCAUCCGGAACUGUCAGGCUAGAGUGCAGGAGAGGAAGGUAGAAUUCCCGGUGUAGCGGUGAAAUGCGUAGAGAUCGGGAGGAAUACCAGUGGCGAAGGCGGCCUUCUGGACUGACACUGACGCUGAGGUGCGAAAGCGUGGGUAGCAAACAGGAUUAGAUACCCGGGUAGUC
rnacentral:rRNA from 1 species